rnacentral:lncRNA from 1 species
GCCAAACCAAGUUGACACCAAAUCACAAAACCUGAAAAGUUGAGACCAAAUUUAAAUGUCAGAUCAAAUCCAGGUCUACCACAUUUCAGUUCAUAGUGAUCAAACCAAACAUAAAGUUUUCUGUAUUCUACAAAAGAGGGCGUGAAACUAUUUGCAGCUAUAAAUAAUCUAUAUAUAGCAGAAAAAGCAGUAAGAAAAUAUUGUUAAUUUAAUGGUAUAUAUGUACCUAUGGCAAAUAGACACUUACACCAGACAUCAUUGGAGAGAUGUACACGGAUUUGGAAGCCACAACUCAUAGUUUUUUUAAAAUCAUCAGAACUCAUAGUUGGUUUGAUCUUUUUAGUUAAGAUAUCAUAGCACGACCAAAACAUAGUAAGUGUUUUUAUCACAAACUGCUCGAGUAAUCCAGAUAGGAUAUCAUACAACCACCAAAAUAUGGUAAUAGUCUUUAUCAAAAACUGUCUGAGUAACCUGUGUGAAAGGAGAAUCUAGAAUUGGAGAAUCAAGCAACAUUGUUAGGUAAUGAGUAUCAAGAAAAUAC